UACGGGGGGAGCAAGCGUUGUUCGGAUUUACUGGGCGUAAAGGGCGCGUAGGCGGCCACCGCAAGUCGACUGUGAAAUCUCCGGGCUUAACCCGGAAAGGUCAGCCGAUACUGCGGGGCUAGAGUGCAGAAGGGGCAACUGGAAUUCUCGGUGUAGCGGUGAAAUGCGUAGAUAUCGAGAGGAACACCGGUGGCGAAGGUGGCCAACUGGACAGAUACUGACGCUGAGACACGAAAGCGUGGGGAGCAAACAGG
rnacentral:rRNA from 1 species